rnacentral:rRNA from 1 species
CCUACGGGUGGCUGCAGUGGGGAAUAUUGCACAAUGGGCGCGAGCCUGAUGCAGCCAUGCCGCGUGUGUGAAGAAGGCCUUCGGGUUGUAAAGCACUUUCAGCGGGGAGGAAGGCGGUGAGGUAAAUAACCUCAUCGAUUGACGUUACCCGCAGAAGAAGCACCGGCUAACUCCGUGCCAGCAGCCGCGGUAAUACGGAGGGUGCAAGCGUUAAUCGGAAUUACUGGGCGUAAAGCGCACGCAGGCGGUCUGUCAAGUCGGAUGUGAAAUCCCCGGGCUCAACCUGGGAACUGCAUUCGAAACUGGCAGGCUAGAGUCUUGUAGAGGGGGGUAGAAUUCCAGGUGUAGCGGUGAAAUGCGUAGAGAUCUGGAGGAAUACCGGUGGCGAAGGCGGCCCCCUGGACAAAGACUGACGCUCAGGUGCGAAAGCGUGGGGAGCAAACAGGAUUAGAUACCCUUGUAGUC